CCGCCGCGGUUAUACGAGAGGCUCAAGUCGAUAGAAACCGGCGUAAAGGGUGGUUAAUUCUAUAUGUAAGCUAGAGGAAAAUGCCUUCCAAGCUGUUAUACGCACCCGAAGGUAAGAAAAACCUACACGAAAGACCCUCUAAUAAAUAUGAACCCACGACAGCUUUGGCACAAACUGGGAUUAGAUACCCCACUAUGCUCGGCCGUAAACUUAGAUAACUAAUUAUAAUAUUUAUCCGCCAGGGUACUACGAGCAUAAGCUUAAAACCCAAAGGACUUGGCGGUGCUUCAGACCCUCCUAGAGGAGCCUGUUCUAGAACCGAUAUUCCUCGUUAAACCUCACCGCCUCUUGUUCACCCCCGCCUAUAUACCGCCGUCGUCAGCUUACCCUUUGAAGGUAAUAAAGUAAGCGAAACAGUCACAAACAAAAACGUCAGGUCGAGGUGUAGCGUAUGAGGCGGGAAGAAAUGGGCUACAUUCUCUUUCCGCAGAGAAAAACGGAAGGGGCAGUGAAACCUGCCCCCAAAGGUGGAUUUAGCAGUAAGCAAGAAAUAGAGUGUCUUGCUGAAACCGGCUCUGAAGCGCGCACACACCGCCCGUCACUCUCCCCGACGACUCACCAACUUUCAUAAAGAGAAACAAAAAAAAGGGGAGGCAAGUCGUAACAAGGUAAGUG
rnacentral:rRNA from 1 species